CAGUAAAAUCAUACUACUACUCAGUCCCAACUGCAUUGUUUACGCGCGGUCAAAUCAUGUAUGUAUCUCAUAUAGUAUUAUAUGCUAUAAUAGCAUAUAAUACUAUAGCAUAUUUGUGUAUAAUAAUAUAAGAUAAUAUUAUAGCAUAUAAUACUAUAGGAGAUACAUACACUGUACAUGAUCUGACCGCGCGUAAACAAUGCAGUCAGGGACUUAGUAGUAGUAUGAUUUUGUUG